GCAUUAAUGGGGUAGUGGUAACCUGGGUUGUUGCCAUACACUACAAGGUGACAUGCUCGACCCGCCUGGGGGUUUGAUUCCCCCUUAAUGCA